UACGUAGGGGGCAAGCGUUGUCCGGAUUUAUUGGGCGUAAAGCGCGUGUAGGCGGCCAGAUAGGUCUGCUGUGAAAACUCGAGGCUCAACCUCGAGCUGUCGGCGGAAACCAUCUGGCUAGAGUCCGGAAGAGGAGAGUGGAAUUCCUGGUGUAGCGGUGAAAUGCGCAGAUAUCAGGAAGAACACCUAUGGCGAAGGCAGCUCUCUGGGACGGUACUGACGCUGAGACGCGAAAGCGUGGGGAGCGAACAGA
rnacentral:rRNA from 1 species